rnacentral:rRNA from 1 species
UACGAAGGGUGCAAGCGUUACUCGGAAUUACUGGGCGUAAAGCGUGCGUAGGUGGUUUGUUAAGUCUGUUGUGAAAGCCCCGGGCUCAACCUGGGAAUGGCAAUGGAUACUGGCAAGCUAGAGUGCGGUAGAGGGUAGUGGAAUUCCCGGUGUAGCGGUGAAAUGCGUAGAGAUCGGGAGGAACACCAGUGGCGAAGGCGGCUUCCUGGACCGGUUCUGACACUGAGGAGCGAAAGCGUGGGGAGCGAUCCGG